rnacentral:rRNA from 1 species
UACAGAGGUCUCAAGCGUUUGUUCGGAUUUAUUGGGCGUAAAGAGCUCGUAGGCGGUUCGGUAAGUCAGGUGUGAAAUCUCCACGCUCAACGUGGAGGCGCCACCUGAAACUGCCGUGACUCGAGUCCGGUAGGGGAGUGUGGAAUUCCUGGUGUAGCGGUGAAAUGCGCAGAUAUCGAGGAGGAACACCGGUGGCGAAGGCGGAUCUGCUGGGCCUGUCCUGACGCUGAGGCGACGAAAGGCUAGGGGAGCGAACAGG